rnacentral:lncRNA from 1 species
ACACUAUGAAGAGAGCCCAUGCUAUUGGUGGAAGGGCAGCUAAGUUGCUGCAGAAGACUGCAGCAUUUUGGAGAUGCCAGUACCAUGGGAAGACCACCAAGAACAGCAGCAACUGUGGAGUGGAGCUGACUUGAGCCUAGGAGACAAAAGUAUGCGUGCUGCAGAGGGCAGAGCUGGAGAAGGGAUGCAAGCCCAGAAGAUGGACAAGAAUGCCAAGUCAGCCGCUCCUCGUAGAAGGCAAUGACAAUCUGAGGACACUUCAUGUUCGCCUCCUUUGCCAGCACCAAGUCGGCCUCGUCCGAGUCCUUCCACUUCAUGAGAAACAUUAACUCUCCGCUGCUGUCCGUGGCGCCGAUUAUUCGUUCAGGGUCGAGACCUCUGGCAAAGCCCCUUGGUUUGUCAGCAGCAUCUCUCUUCUUCUUCGAUUUGCUAUCAUCAGAUUCACUGUCAGAUAAAGAUUUCCUUUUUGUACCAUCUUUUUCUUUACCAGCUUUUUGAGAAUUAAGAAAUGCUUCAAUUAAUUCUGGACAAUCUAAAUUUUCUUCUGGUUCCCAAGUAUUAUCAGCAUCUGUGAACCCCUUCCACUUCAGGAAAUACUCCACCUUCCCAUUCACUACACGACGGUCCAGUACUUUUUCUACCACAAAUUCUUCAGGCUCUGCCUCUUCAACUUUUUUACUCUUUCCAUUUUGUUUCUUUCCCAUUUUUUGCAAUGUAGUUUUAUUGGAGGCCAUUUUUUAAAUUUAAUCGGAGACUUGAAGAGUUCACCGCUCCGAUGCUCAGGGCCGCGGAUCCUGCAGAGUCUCCCGGGAGGGUUGGUUUUAAUUGUCAACUCCACACAACCUAGAAUCACUGAGAAGAGUCUCACAAGGGACUUCCUAGGUUAGGUUGGACUAUGAAUACAUCUGUAAGGGAUUUUUGUGAAUUACAUCAGAUGAAGUUGGAAGACCCACCCUGAAUGUGGACUGCGCCAUUUCAUCCCAGGGCCCUAAUGUAUGACAUAGUGAAGAGAUAUAACGAGCAAGUGGGUUGCAGGUAUGCAUUCCCUUCGCUCUGCUUUUGACUAUGGAUACACUGCAACUAGCUGUUUGAGGUCCUACCUUGACUUCUCUGCAAUGAUGGACUGUAAUUGUAAUUAUAGUCGGAACUGUAAAGUCAAGUUAACCCUUUCUUUCCCAAGCUGUUUUUUGUUUGUUUGUUGGUCAGGACAUUUUAUCACAGGAACAGAAAUAAAAUCAAUAGCU